AUAUAUUUAAAAUAUGGAAAACUUGGAGUUAGGUUUUCUUUAUUAGAGACAGGUCAAUGCCAGACAGUCACACAUACAACUAAUAUUACCUAAUUGAUGGCAUACAUUUAUAAGAGAAGGAAACGCUAGACUUAAUUAUCCAUCAGUGAAAAUAAAGAUAACCGGUCGAUUUUUUCUGAUUCGAGCUGACCGACCUCCCCAAAUUCUUCCACAGAUCCCUGGUUAGAAACUAUUGGUUUAGUAGUUAGCCCUCAAUUUUUAAUAUAUUUAACAGCUGAAUAAGUUACGGUCAUUACUCACCUGUGUAUAGUCUGUUUGUUUAUAGUUUCUGUGCUCACCUACCGAUCUUAACCGGUGUUUUCCUACCGAUUAAGUUUCGGUGGAAGAAAUUACUAAAAAUCUUUCCAUCUUUCUUUUCCACUUUUAUCAAAAAAUUGGCUGGUUUUUUUUGUUUUCUGUGGGACAGUUAGUCCGCCCGAAAUGGAGAAAAACAAUUUAGACUAACCCCAGCUAGAACUAGAUCGGUGGUAGGAUGGGGAAACGGAUCAUCUCCCAAAUUGAUAAAAUCGGUUGCAAAAGCGACUAUGAUGAGGCCAUCCGGGGCCGGAAGUGGUGCGCCGGUAGUGUACGCUCUUUCUGUAACGCGAUAAAAAUCUAUUAAAGAGGCUAAGUAAAUAGUAGGACGAUACAAUACUACAAGACCGUGAAGUGUCGAUGUAGGCGGAGAUUAUCGGGCCUAACUAAGGUAGGCCUUAAGUAGAUAGUCGGAAGGCCGCGUACGAUUAAGAAGGACGGGCGAUAAUCUUCCGUGGCGCCAUUUUUAAACGGACUGGAGUGUAGUUUGACGGUUAUUAAAAGAAAUCGAUAUAUUAAAAGAAAGUUUAAAUAUGGGCCAUUUGUAAGAGAGCGGCCCGCUAAUCGCCUCCGAUGACCGAGCGUCCCUACCCAGUUUCAUCAAACUAUAAAUACUCGAAUCGGAAACACGGGAGGUUAAUUUUAACGACGGCCCAUUCCUCUGCAAUUGGGCGGAAAUUAUUUUCUGGAAGUUGGAAAGCGGUGGGCGGGAAGAGAACGACCCAGCCACACCCUUCCUCGGGCUUUAUCUUAUUUUCCAAAGUCGACUGAAAUUACGGGCGGUAGAGUAAUUUUAGUCGACUUAAGAUUUAUCCGGCCCGUCCUCCGUUCAGUCCCGGCACGGCCGGAACUGGAUCGAAUGGGAAGGAAGCGGCUUCCUACCCACCCGAGCUAGUGGAGAUUUAGUCCCAAUUUAGCGGGAAAAGUGCGGCUAAUCGGUGUCCCUUUUCCCAGAGAGUGGCUAGUAGGCCCCUUAUACCGGUAUCGACCGUCUAUUUCCGAAUCGGCUAACGGGUCCGGUGUAACGGCCCAACCAAACCAAACGAAAACGUUAGCCACGGCGCACUUUCUUAAUCUCCCAUCGAUUACAACUUAUUUUUUCCUUUUCCACUGGUUAGCGAAAAACCAUAAAUUUCGGCCGAAGUUUAUGGUUAAAGAAGUGGAAAAACCAUAGGAAGAAGGUUACCGAAGGAGAGGUGAAGAACCCAACUUACCAAAGACGCUGGGUUGGGGCCGGAAGUGUAUUUUCCGAAAGAAUCCGAAGAACGACUGGAGGUGCCGCCUGUGCCUCUUAUACCUUUCCAGGGUAUAAGAGGAAACAGGAGACGACUGGAGCUGUUCUGACCGGACCGUAAACGGAGCCGGAGUAGGGAAGCGGGCCGGUGGCCGAGGCUGGUCCGGGCCCGGACCGGAUGCCAUUUAUCCGUAAUCGAAUUUGGCCGAAAGAAAAUCCAGCCCCCGGCCGACGGGUCAACGACUAACUGGGCGGCGGCUGUCAAACACGUUUAUUCUGGUGCGGACGGCCAGCUAAGAGCCAGGCCGCUAAACCGGGUUAAACGGCCGUUCCCUCCGAAGAGGACAAUAGGAUUUAUUCGGCGGCGGCGGCGGACUGGUCCACCGGCGCUCCUAAUUGCGUCUGGCGCUGGGCCUAAGGUGGGUGCCACGGAGCGAGGCGAUUGCAGUUUCAUCGGGCAGAUGGCGCCAGUGCCGGUCCGGCCGGCUAAUGGGCCUAGCCGCCGGGGAGUAGACGGGAGGAGAAAAUGCAAAAAGCGGCCUAGUCGGCCUUUAGUUGUACAUCAGUCGGAGCGCUAAGACACCAUCGAUCGGUGGUCGGACUAUCUAUACGGGCGUCUGGAACAUUAAGCCCGAUCGAUAGGAAAGAGUGGGGGCAGAUGCCCGAGUAACCACUCGGACCGACCCCACCGAUAGCCUCCCGCACUAAUCGCUACUUGGCCUCGUUUUCGUUCUGUCUCUGGCCAGAUGUUUCCCGGUUGGACCCCCGCCUCCCUCUCUCUCUCGGUAAGUGGCCGAUACGUCGGGGACUAAUGUCGGAUGGAGCCGGGCCGUAUCGAUUAGCGGAAUGGGUGCACUUUGGUCGGUUCCACUCGCAGUUGGUAUAGGAGAGACGCAUUAGCGCCUUACACAAACACGUCUCGCUAACACUCCCGCCCGGUAUCGACCCACUCUGCCAUUCUCUAUCGUCUUUCCGCCCUCUUACCUUAAUAGGUGGAGGUCCGACCGGACCCGGCCGCUCUUCUCCCUACCCUCGGCUAAAUAAUUACCGUUAUUCUCGGCCGCCCGAUCCGCGGGGGCAGAUUAUCGAUAAGCGGCUAAAGCCAGAGCCCGCGCCUCCGAUAAUUUCUCGUUUCUGGACUGUCUCCGUUUUCCUCGGGGCCCCAUCUCCCGUCCACUUCGCUCAGAUUAGAUGGCGGCUGGGCUAUUCCCGGCCGGUAAUCCGCCGAGGGCCGUCUCUCCAUCCGGUCUAGCCCGGCUAGCCGCCCGCCCCGACUCUUCCCCCACCGCCUUUUUAAACGGCUAAAUGAGCCUGGGUCCCAUUUAAUUCGGCCGGCUAAUUUAACCGGCGUACUUAGUCGGCUAGUGGCGCCUAAACCCCAAGAUUUUCCUACUCCUCCACUCGGGCCUAUCCGUUCGACCUCUACCCUAGGCCACUUCACCCCUAGUCCAGAUCUUCCCUACCCUAUCGUUAUUUGAUAAUCGAAUAAAAUCCUGACCGUAAUCAGGAUGGCGUCAGAGAAUAAAGGGGGCCCGUGGUCUGCGUCGACACCCCCAUCCUGUGCUACGGUCUUUUUACUUUUAAUUUAUAACAUAACAGUGGUGGUCGAAUAGCUAUUAGUUAUACCGUCAAAGCUUCACAAAUAUAUAACUGCCAUACGGUUAGCCACUAAUUCCAGAGCCUGCGGGACUGGCUGGACGUGGAUCCGGAUCCAGGCCCUCCCGGAGGCGGGCCCUGUUUAUGUAAUCGGAGACGAAAAGUUUCCCGGCCCAACGUACAUUCAGCCCAGCCCAGAAAGAAAGCUUCCAUUCCGAGAACCGUAAUAUUUUCGGCAGCGAAAACACCGUCGGUCAGACGUUUGAUCCAAACGUUUUACCGGUCUAAUGGACACCGGUGACCUAGGACCCGACCUAACGAAAUUACUCGAGUAUCACGGCUUCCCGACCUUUUUCCGGUCGUAAUGGCCGUCCGGUUUACCGAUUAGGAAAAGUUCUUUCCGAAACGGAAUAGAAAUCCGGGUUUAUUUCUAAACUGGGCCGUGGUCGAAGCGUCCGCCACUAUUUUCUCCGGGCUAUACCGCGCCUAUUGUCACAUGGUGCCUACGGUGGUUACCUAGGGACCCACACCAGAAACAAUUUUUGUUAAAGGACGGUGUGGUGCCGGGGGCCGAAGAUGACUAUCGGCCGGAUAGCUCGAGAAAUUUACUGCGCGUGCGUGUUUACUCGCGCCGCUGGUUGACACGGGAGGGUGCCGAUCGAGUUAUUUACUGUUUUGCAUAUUGGCGGCUGGGCUCGGCUUUUCGGUUAUUUUAUGUUUCAUUCCAGCCUAUACUGGCCUAGUGCCAGAAUAUUCGGCCGUAAUAGGUCUAAGGCGGAUUGGAAAAUACAGAUCCGUAUUUCCGGUUUAUUAUUAUUAAUUUUGGUAGGUUGAUAAGCCUGGCUAUAAUACACACGCCUACACCUACUUAUAUAUAAUAUACUAAUAGCCAUUCGCUUUAUAAAUUAAAAAAUGGACUUUCGACUUCCACCCGGGAGGAUCCGGGUUCUCCACUCUUCCAUAUUUAGUAGGGUGGCCGGUUCGAUCUGGAAGGAUUCCACCACCCUUCUAGAUCCAGCUCAGCGAAUUUCUUUCCGGUCGGAAAAUAAUUAGGCAGGAUACAUAUAGGAACAGAAAUAGCGUCCGAAUGUCGAUGGUUUUAAUGGAGCUCCCGGAUUUUGGACGUGCUUCUUUCCUCCUCUAUCGAUGAGAAUAACCGUACCCAUUUGAUGGGAACCGCUACCUUCCCAGUUGUCGGCAUUUUUUCCAUUACGACCGAAAUAAUAAGACGCCAUUCCCGCCGCCCCCUUGGUAGACGGACCCGUUCCACCCAUCCCCGUCGGGGACCGAAUUUCACCGGGAUGCCAUAGACGUACCAUAGGGAUGGGAGUUCGGACCGACGCCGGUUACGGUCCGAACUCCCAUCCGUAUGGUACGCCUUUUCCACCCUUUCCGUUCAACCUGGAAUAGAACAGUAUACCAAGAAGACGCAGGAUGACUGGAUGUCGACCGACUAAACCGCGCCCGUUUUCGAGGGCCGGCCGGUCUUUUUUUUGUCAAUAGAUAACGCCAUUUUCCAAUCAGUAAGAGUACUAAGUGGCGGGACGAAACAGCCCUUCUACCACGGGCUCCCCACCCCGGCGGAGGGGUCAACCGGAUGGUGGAGGACGGGAAUCGACGGGCCGGACCCGGACCCCGCAAUAAGUACUUUCGAGGGGUGGGACCCCAGAAUCGAACCCGGGUCCUCCAGAGUGGAAAGCCGAAGCGUUUCCACGGGCCAAUUCGGAAAGGGCGAAAGAAGCCAUCGGGUUUUCGUAUUUCUAUUUUGGGUGGUGAACGGUGGCUAAUCGAAAAAACUUUAGGGAUGGCCAGCCCGGAACCGUCCGCCGUAGCGUAUACUCGGUGGGACCGACCGACGGCCACCCGCCUCUAACUUCCGACAAUCCAACUAAGCCACUUAGCACCGGUCACCGGUGGGCUAUAUUAUCGGGAAGAGACGACCGACAAUGUCUGCAAAUUUAUAAGUUUCACGGUCCAGAGCGGACUCGGAAAAUCCUACCGGUAUCUGAUGGUAGAAAAUAUUUGGCGGUGAAGAGUAUUUUCCUGCACCAUUGGCACUAAAAAUUCCAAAUUUUUCUUUCAGCUUAAAAGAUGGAAGCGUCCCACCGCUGGCCCAACCUCUAAUAAUAUAUGGCGGAUGGGUAAAACGUCGAGCGGAUCGAUGCAUGGGGUAGUCGACGGAAAUAGUUUCCCGGAGGGGAACUAUUUCGGUCGACUACCCCAUACAGCGGCCCUCUCCCAGAACAGCCGCUAGGACCAAGUGGCGAAGGGGCCAGACCAACCCGGCGAAGGUGGCGGGACCGUAUGCCGGUAGACGUGGCCCAACCUCCAGCCUGGAACGGAAUUAAGGGCGGCCGUCGCCGACAACCAUUCCGGUUUCCGUGCGGCGUCGGGAAGCGUGUGGCGUGUGCUGUCGUCAUGGUAACCGCGGCUCUUUUUCGUCCGGAGAACGAGGUAUUAAAUAUAACGAAGAGGCGGAAAAAGUUUCUCUCUCUCAAUUACCGAAGGAAAAAAUAAGUGGACGGGGACGCUAAGCCGAUAAUUUUCUGUCGGGCCGGCCGUUACUGGCCCCGGACCCACACCACUCGCUGGCAUUCCUAGCUGGAACUGUCGGCAUUCCGGUGGGCGGGCCCGGACGCUACUUAUAAAUAGCCCCUGGUCACUAAACUCUAAAUUAUUAAUUAAAAAGCUCCGUAGAAAUCCGGAUCGCUGUUCGGUCGAACUUUUCCAUUAAUAGGGACAGCCAACAGGAGAAGGCCGAUAACAGCUUCCCCCGGUUGGCUGUCGUCCUCUUCCCUUUCAGUUAAAAUUUACUACUUUCGGAUUUGUCGAAUAUCGUCCGAGUUACGGAGAUAUUGGCAUCCUACCGCCACCCAACGAAAUUUAUAAACCCCACCAGGAGACUGCCUGGACCGAUCAAACACCGUGGAGGGGACGGUAGGCAAACGAAGGUCCCCUGUUCCCACCGCCUGGCUAUAAAUAUGGAACUGGUAUGCGAUUGGUGCGUCCGGUUGGGGACGGGGUACGGAUCGGUGCAGACCGAAAAUCACUCGAAUCGGUAGGCUAUUACCGAAUGCCGCAUAUUUUCUGGUUUUAAAUUAUACCGGUAAUUUUAAACUAGAUAUGUUGGUACCCGCGACCUAUAACGGACGCGGGUACCAACAUCUAGUUUAAAAUUAGCGGUUUCCUUUCCGUGGCCGCUAAAUAUUCGAGACCUUAAUACCCCCUUUCCGGCACCGUUCUGGUCUGGACCGUAAUCAUUUUCCAGCCGUAGGCGUCGGAACGCCCGGUUACGAUCGACCUUAACUGUUGGUCGAAAGCCGACCACCGCCUUCCAAGCGGCAGCCGGUGGUCCUUUUUGGCCGACCUCGGGCUCGUAAUGUCUUUACCCUCCCUUCCAGCGCUUCCUCGAAAAUGUCGUCAAGAAUUUACCGGCGGCUGUCUCUUACCCGCCUUCCGAUUAACUUCCCCGUUAAUCAUCCAGUAUCCUCAUCGGUCCAGCCAGUUUCCGCCGUUUAUAAAUUUCUUCCGGUCCGGAUAGGGCUGUCUCUUACCACAGUCCCACUUUUGCAUCGGCCUUCCGGAUGGGAUGGGCAUCACCUAAUUUGGCCCGGGCGUGGGCCGUCCCCAGCCGUGGCUAUCCCAACUAAUUGGUGGAGAAGGCGCGCCUGGAUUAGGACGGCCGGUAGCUGGUGGCCAUCCCAUUCUUACCUACCGGAAGAAGACGGAUUUCGUGCUUGGGUAGACCCGUCCUGUCCCGUCCGUCGGAACGGGGCCACGGUUACCGCCUUCCGACUGUCGGUAAUUUACCGCCGCUCCGUAUCCCACCCCACCGUCGGGAAUCGACUGGAUCGGUUGCCAUGGUGAUGGACAGGAAAAAGGACGGAAAGAACAAAAGCGGAGGAUUCAGACAAAACGGGGGGCGACGAAGCGGAUAAAAGAGAAAACAAGAAAAUCCUCCGGAGGAAAUACCGACAGAGAGGGGACGAACCAGCCGAGUCGAAAUUCUGGUGUUUCCAGAAAUCCUGCGGGUCUGAGACCGGGCUCCUUGGGGAAAAUCACAGAUACCCCAUUCUGCAGAUUCUUUUGCUUUUCUUUCUUUCUGCCGUUCACUCGAUUUACUUUGUCCACUGGCUAAAUUCGUUUUCUUCUUCUUCCCGACGACUGAGUCCAGCCUGUCACGGACUGGAAAAUGUCAGGUAGAAGCUUUCUUUUCUUCUGGUAUAACGGAUCCGGUUCCGGCUGCCCGUCUCUCGUUUUUUCUCCGUGUUACCUGGCCAACUGUCACAUUAAUCGCUCUCGUUUUCCUUCCCUCCCUAUCUAGGAAAGCCGGCUAUCCAGUGGCGGUAGUGGGACCCAAUGGGGUGGAAGGCACCAUCGGGCGGUCCGACUGCGAUUCGGUCGGUGCUACGAAUCUAGAUAAUUGAUUCGGCUAUUUAUAUCCGGCCUUAGCCACUUUAGCCUCGGUACUGAUGUUAUUUUUCUUUUCAGAGAGAAGAGCGGAGUCCCGGCCGUGGCUAAUCUCCAUUCCGAUCCCCAGCCGACGGAAG
rnacentral:lncRNA from 1 species